UACAGAGGGUGCAAGCGUUGUUCGGAAUUAUUGGGCGUAAAGCGCGUGUAGGCGGCUUUGCAAGUCGGGUGUGAAAGCCCUCAGCUCAACUGAGGAAGUGCGCCCGAAACUGCAGAGCUUGAGUACCGGAGAGGAUGGCGGAAUUCCCCAAGUAGAGGUGAAAUUCGUAGAUAUGGGGAGGAACACCGGUGGCGAAGGCGGCCAUCUGGACGGUCACUGACGCUGAGACGCGAAAGCGUGGGGAGCAAACAGA
rnacentral:rRNA from 1 species